UACGUAGGGUGCGAGCGUUGUCCGGAAUUAUUGGGCUUAAAGAGCUCGUAGGCGGCUUGUCGCGUCGGAUGUGAAAGCCCGGGGCUUAACUCCGGGUCUGCAUUCGAUACGGGCAGGCUAGAGUUCGGUAGGGGAGAUCGGAAUUCCUGGUGUAGCGGUGAAAUGCGCAGAUAUCAGGAGGAACACCGGUGGCGAAGGCGGUUCUCUGGGCAUGACCUGACGCUGAGGAGCGAAAGUGUGGGGAGCGAACAGG
rnacentral:rRNA from 1 species